UUGAAAAAUACGGGAGAAACCAAUUAUUUGGAGCCGAAGGCGUAAGUUACUUGUUUGCCACAAGUAGCGAAACUCUCAGGCAAAAGGACCGUAUUUUGACA
rnacentral:ncRNA from 2 species